AGCUUUGUGCAGUAGCAGAACCAUGGCCAAUGAGGUUUUAUCCUAGGCUCAAUUACUGCUAAUUGAAAAGUUUUCCCUGUGGUGACAACUUGCAAUUUAGUCACAUUGGCAAUUGUUGACAGUCUCCACGGAGA